rnacentral:rRNA from 1 species
UACAGAGGUCUCAAGCGUUGUUCGGAUUCAUUGGGCGUAAAGGGUGCGUAGGCGGCGCGGUAAGUCGGGUGUGAAAUCCCUGGGCUCAACCUGGGAACGGCAUUCGAGACUGUGUUGCUGGAGUACGGAAGAGGAGGGCGGAAUUCCCGGUGUAGCGGUGAAAUGCGUAGAUAUCGGGAGGAACAUCAGUGGCGAAGGCGGCCCUCUGGUCCAGUACUG